rnacentral:misc_RNA from 1 species
UGAAAAAGUGUUAUAAAUUUAGAUUUAUUAUUAGUUUAAGAGACUUUAAGCUACCUAAAUACUAGUGGGAUCUGAUUUUUUUUCCUAGAAAUAGAGAAACACAUGUAGAUUAGUGAUAGGAAUAAACCGAUGUUAAAAUCAUGACAAUCUUAACAGUAGAAUCCUUGUUUCUAUAUAAUUUAUACGCAUGCACUUUUCACAUCUGAUGUGGAAUCGAAAGAACCGAUAAAAAAAAAUUAAUAGGAGUGAAAGGGUUGUUUAAAAUGUAUGGACAAAUGCAAAAUUUGGUAUCAUAAUUAUAUAAACUUUUUUUUUCUUGGAAUUUUAUUAAUAUUAGAAAUCAGGAAAAAAUUUAAUAUCAUCACACUACUCUAAAUUUAAGUCAAUAAGUUUCUCUAAAAAUUUCAAUUUAGGCAUGAUAUAUUAAGCAAAAAAACUGGGUGACAGAACAAAAUACAAAAAUGAAACAAGACAGAAUAAAUAAAACAGAUACCAAAUAGGGUUCCAAAUACAAUAGACCAAAGAAGUAUAAUUGAAACAAAACUACAACAGAUCAAAAAAUGCAGUCCAGAUGUGUGAAAUGCAAUAGACCAAAGUAAUAAAUAUUCCCUUUUAAUAUAUUUUAUUUUGUUGAGAUGACUUGUAUUCUGUGUAAAGCAUAAUCGUCAUAAGGAAUUCCAAAUAUAGCCAAAAAAUUAUUAUUGUUUUGUUGUGGUAGAAUUUUUUUUAUUGAGGUGUGAGAUAAAUUUUGUUAUGUGAAAUUAUUUUUGUGAGCUACGAAAAUAGCUGCAAGCUUCAAAGCACUGCCAUAAUAGAAUGAUUUUGUGUUUUUAAGUUUUGACAUUGAGUUUUAGAUACCAUAAAAAUACUUUUUAGGAAAAUAAUAUAUACCUAUGUUUGUGUAUUGACUUGUUCAAUUCUGUUUUUUGAAGAGUUUUACGCCUGUACACUUUCAUUUUGUAUCUACUAUAUAAGCUAUUGUUUGUAGCAUUUUAUAGUCAUUCAAUAAAAUAAUUCAUUUCAAACCCUUACAUGGUAUCAGAGCCUUUCUUCAAGCAUAAGCUCUUCAAGUGCAACCUCCUCUGCUACUCAAUCUUCCCCUCCCUUUUCCAUUUCUUCAACUCAAACUUCUGCUCAUCAUACUUUUUCAAUUAAGCUAAACACCAAAAAUUUCUUAGCAUGGAAAAUGCAAUUUAUUCCUUUAUUGAAUUAUCAAAAACUCCAUGGAUUUAUCGAUGGCACCUCUCCUCGUCCUCCUAAAACCAUUCCUGGCACCUCAACUAAUGCACCUGCUCCUAAUCCUGACUACUUGGUUCUCCAAAGAUCAAAUGUUAUUAUCAUGGUUACUCUCUUUACUAACUGAAGAAAUCUUUCCCUAUGUAAUUGGUCUUACUUUUUCAUAUAAUGUGUAGCAAGCAUUGGCUAAAGCCUUUGGCUCAGUUUCUCAAAAUAGGCAAUUGUAGAUUCACAUUGAACUGCAAGAGCUCAAGAAAAAUGACCUCUUUGUUGCUGAUUAUCUCCAUUGUGCAAAAACACUAGCUGAUGAAUUAGAAGCAGCUGGUCGUCCUUUUUCUGCAGCAGAAUUUAAUGCGAUUAU